CGGGUGCACUGAUCCGGCCGGGCCUUUCCCUCUGUGGAACCCCAUGGCCUUCACUGGCUGUGCGGGGGAAACAGGACUUUUACUGUGAAAAAAUUAGAGUGCUCCAGGCAGGCCUAUGCUCGAAUACAUUAGCAUGGAAUAAUAGAAUAGGACGCGUGGUUCUAUUUUGUUGGUUUCUAGGACCGCCGUAAUGAUUAAUAGGGACAGUCGGGGGCAUCAGUAUUCAAUUGUCAGAGGUGAAAUUCUUGGAUCUAUUGAAGACUAACUACUGCGAAAGCAUUUGCCAAGGAUGUUUUCAUUGAUAAGGAACGAAAGUUAGGGGAUCGAAGACGAUCAGAUACCGUCGUAGUCUUAACUAUAAACUAUGCCGACUAGGGAUCGGACGAUGUUAUUUCUUGACGCGUUCGGCACCUUUCGAGAAAUCAAAGUGCUUGGGCUCCAGGGGGGGUAUGGUCGCAAGGCUGAAACUUAAAGAAAUUGACGGAAGGGCACCACCAGGGGUGGAACCUGCGGCUUAAUUUGACUCAACACGGGGAAACUCACCAGGUCCAGACACAAUGAGGAUUGACAGAUUGAGAGCUCUUUCUUGAUUUUGUGGGUGGUGGUGCAUGGCCGUUCUUAGUUGGUGGAGUGAUUUGUCUGCUUAAUUGCGAUAACGAACGAGACCUUAACCUGCUAAAUAGCCCGUACUGCUCUGGCAGUUCGCCGGCUUCUUAGAGGGACUAUCGG
rnacentral:rRNA from 1 species